rnacentral:rRNA from 1 species
GACGAACGCUGGCGGCGUGCUUAACACAUGCAAGUCGAACGACGUGGCGAACGGGUGAGUAAUACGUGGGUAACCUGCCCUCCUUUUUGGGAUAAGCCUUGGAAACGUGGUCUAAUACCCAAUAAAGGGGGAUGGGCUCGCGGCCUAUCUGCUUGUUGGUGGGGUGAUGGCCUACCAAGGCGGUGACGGGUAGCCGGCCUGAGAGGGUGGCCGGCCACAUGGGGACUGAGAUACGGCCCAGACGCCUACGGGGGGCAGCAGUGGGGGAUAGUGCACAAUUGUCGAAAGCCUGAUGCGGCGACGCCGCGUGGGGGAUGAAGGCCUUCGGGUUGUAAACUCCUUUCGACAGAGACGCGGUACCUGUAUAAGAAGCACCGGCUAACUACGUGCCAGCAGCCGCGGUAAUAC